GACGAACGCUGGCGGCGUGCCUAAUACAUGCAAGUAGAACGCUGAAGGAGGAGCUUGCUUCUCUGGAUGAGUUGCGAACGGGUGAGUAACGCGUAGGUAACCUGCCUGGUAGCGGGGGAUAACUAUUGGAAACGAUAGCUAAUACCGCAUAAGAGUAGAUGUUGCAUGACAUUUGCUUAAAAGGUGCAAUUGCAUCACUACCAGAUGGACCUGCGUUGUAUUAGCUAGUUGGUGAGGUAACGGCUCACCAAGGCAACGAUACAUAGCCGACCUGAGAGGGUGAUCGGCCACACUGGGACUGAGACACGGCCCAGACUCCUACGGGAGGCAGCAGUAGGGAAUCUUCGGCAAUGGACGGAAGUCUGACCGAGCAACGCCGCGUGAGUGAAGAAGGUUUUCGGAUCGUAAAGCUCUGUUGUAAGAGAAGAACGAGUGUGAGAGUGGAAAGUUCACACUGGGACGGUAUCUAC
rnacentral:rRNA from 1 species